rnacentral:lncRNA from 1 species
UUAUAAGAUAUCUAUAUAUAUAGGGUCCUUCUAUCUUACAUGCAUGUAAGAUAGGGAUUGCCAUAUAUAUAUAGUUAUAUAUAUACAUACACAUAUUCAUGUAAUUUUCUUAAGACUUAGCAAGUGAUAAAAAUUUCCACUAUAUGAUAGGGCGAUAAAAAGUAGCAUAUUAAAAAUAGUUAGUUAAAUAACAAUAUUAGACAAUCUCUAAAUUACAUUUAGUAACAUACAAUCAUAAAAAAUAAUAGGAAAAUAAGUAAUAGAGUAGGUGGGUCAAGUAGCCAAUUUCAUAUUUUAAAUGUAACUUAAAGACACUACUAGAAAAAUAGUCUUUACUGACACUUGCCUUGCGACACUUUAUUAAAAAGUAUCAGUAAUUUCAUGCAUUUGGGGCAUUUUCCGUGUUUAACAAACAAGUAUCAUAGAUCACUGAUAUUAUAGUGUCAAUAUAUUAAACAUCAGAAAUCAUUGACGCUAAGGUAUCAAUAGCAAAAAAAUUAUCAUUUUAUUUUUGUUUUCGCCUCAACUCGAACCCAAGAUCUCUAAACUUCAAACUUUUACUUUUAAUAGCAAAACCGCUGAGCCUAAAAAAUUUUAUUUGUUUAAUUAUUAAAGUCUUAAAAAUAUAAAAUAUAUCCAUUGCAAUCUAACGCCGCCUCUCUCAUGAAGUCUCUGAAAAUUAAAAUUGAGAGAAAACAAAACUUCUCUAGUGUCAUUUUGUAAGCUACCACGCCAACUAAUUUUUGAUGAGAUUGGAUGAAGAGACAGAGAGAGAUAUCUUUGGUGGACUACGCUUCAUCCUGAGACGAUGACAUAUCAGAGCAGAAAGAUGAACAGUCACGAAACCCUAACGAACAACCACAAAUUUCUACCCACCAGCCUUCUCCUCCUACUCUGCUGGCAAAUCCGACCCGGAGCUUGAACUUCGCCUGCGGUGCGGUAACGCACCACCCUGUUGUGCCAGCAGCCAACUCCAGCGUGUCAGCACAUUCAACAUAGCGUUCAAACUCAUGUGCCUUCCAGACCAGGGGUCUUCGAGCCUGCUGCGUACGAUUAGCCAGCCUUGCAGCUCAUUGACGAAACUAGUUCGGAUUCCGGGGGUGGGCGUCUGGGUCCUAACCAGAUCUUCCUUACUAAGAGGUUGAUAAGACCUCAGGGUAAGAAAGUGAAGGAGAUGAAAGGGGAACGUGGUACAGAUCCUUAACUAAGAAGUACUCUUUAGCAGG